AAAAUUGAAUCAAAAACUACAUUUUCUCAAACCAUUUAUUUUUUCUUAUCAAAAAAUGGGGCGCGACACAUCCUAAAAAUUCUCAAAUAAUCUGUCCAAAAAUCACAUUAUAGCAUACCAAAGAAAAAUAACAUUUUAAAAGGAUAAAAUUGAUUAAAUUUUCCAAUUUUUUGGGCCAUAGUAACAUUAUGGGGAACUUGAGGGGUUAAAAUGCAAUUUUGGAAGUUAUUUCAUGCAUCUUCGAAGAAGCUUUUAUUCUUUCUACCGGUUUCCUUCCUCUGCGAUUUCAUGAGCUCACGGUACAAGUUUCCCUUUGCAUUAAAUCUCAACCAAACAUCAAGACUUUAAUCUAAGCCACAAAACACACAGAACUUCAUCAUCUAAACAAGCAAAUGAUUCAGAAUGACAACAGGCGAUUCUUCUUCGCUGACUCCAAGCUUUGCUGCUUUUUCUGGGUUUCUUAAAGGCAACGACCAGAGAUUCACCUUGUCAAGUAAGAAGAAACUAGGAAUUCAAACCCAUGUGACCUUAGAUUCUCAAGCAAAGUUUAACGCAACAUCAUGCAAGAAAAACUGAUCUAAAUGCUAUGAAAUAAGUAGAAACACAGCAAAAAGAGAAGAAAAAUAGCAAAACAAGUUCGGCAAGAAUUUUUGCCAAGUCUGAUGUGAUUCUAAGCUUAAAUGAAACGGGAGAAGACGAAAUGCCUCACCUUUGGUGCUUUAAAGAGAUGAAACAACACGUUAAACCUUGAAGGCAACGGAUCCAAAUGCAAAAACUUGAAGAUUGAAGCUUCCCGGAACCAGCUUCAAGGACUGACGAGGUAAUGAUUUCAACGUGCUUGGAGACGUUUUUCUAAGAACUUUCCUGAACGAAAGUUGCUCUCUGAUAAACGUAUAUUGUGCAGCAACAAAGAAAAUCCCCUAAAAGGCUAAAUCGAACUGGGAUUUUGGGCAAAAAUGGGGUCAGAAAAUCAACCCUGGCUCAAAAAUUUUCUGAAAUUUUGCUGCGCUUUUUUCUCGUUUUUCUCUCUUUCUUUGCUUCCCUCUCUCCCUCUCUUUUCUAAAGUUCCUCCCUUGUUUCCAAGUUCUCUUUUUCUGGUUUCCUCUCUUUCUUUUUCCUUUUCCCUUUCUUCCUCUCUUCCUUCCUCUCUUUCUCUCGGUUCUUCUCUUUCUUCCAGCUUUUUCCUCACUUUUUCCUCCUGUUUUCCUUCCUACCCGAAGCUCCUCUCCUUUUUUUUUGCUUCCCUGAUUCCCUCUCGUUGUUCUCAGCUUGCUGUUACUUCCAGAUUCUUGCUCUCUCUCCCUUCCUUCUUCAACCGAAACCCUAUUCCUUUUGUUUCUAUCUUUUUACCUAGUUUCUUCCUUCUUUUCUUACUCUCCACAGUUUUGCUCUUUCUCCCUCACUCUCCCCAGCCGAGCUCUCAUCUCUUGUUUUCUUCUUCUUUUUUCUUUUUCCCACUGCCCGAAGUCUCUCUUUGGCUUUUUCGUUUUUGUCUCUCCUUCCUCAGCCCGUAGCUUCCUUUCCUUCCUUUCCUCACCCCCAAAACCCUCUCUCGGUCCCUUUCUCCCCUUUGUUCCCGUAGCCUUUUCUUUCUUUUGUUUCC
rnacentral:lncRNA from 1 species